GAUGAACGCUAGCUACAGGCUUAACACAUGCAAGUCGAGGGGUAACGAGAGGGAAGCUUGCUUUCCUUGUCGACGACCGGCGCACGGGUGAGUAACGCGUAUCCAACCUGCCCCCAACUAGGGAAUAACCUUGCGAAAGUAAGACUAAUACCCUAUAAUUUCCUCAGAUGUCAUCUGACGAGGAAUAAAGAUUUAUCGGUUGUGGAUGGGGAUGCGUCUGAUUAGCUUGUUGGCGGGGUAACGGCCCACCAAGGCAACGAUCAGUAGGGGUUCUGGGAGGAAGGUCCCCCACAUUGGAACUGAGACACGGUCCAAACUCCUACGGGAGGCAGCAGUGAGGAAUAUUGGGCAAUGGGCGGAAGCCUGAACCAGCCAAGUAGCGUGCAGGAUGACGGCCCUAUGGGUUGUAAACUGCUUUUAUACAGGAAUAAAGUUAGCCACGUGUGGUUAUUUGUAGGUACUGUAUGAAUAAGGACCGGCUAAUUCCGUGCCAGCCGCCGCGGUAA
rnacentral:rRNA from 1 species